rnacentral:tRNA from 1 species
CUUGAUAUAGUAUACAAUAUUACAUUAUCUUUUCGCGAUAAAAACAGGUACUAAUACCUUAUUAAGA